GCGGGCGUUGUCCAAUGGUAAGACGUUGGCUUCCCAAGCCAAAGACGGGGGUUCGAUUCCCCCCGCCCGCU
rnacentral:tRNA from 1 species